UUGUGGGGCAGUGUGGGGACUAGGAGAGGCUUGUGGGGCAGUGUGGGGACUAGGAGAGGCUUGUGGGGCAGUGUGGGGACUAGGAGAGGCUUGUGGGGCAGUGUGGGGACUAGGAGAGGCUUGUGGGGCAGUGUGGGGACUAGGAGAGGCUUGUGGGGCAGUGUGGGGACUAGGAGAGGCUUGUGGGGCAGUGUGGGGACUAGGAGAGGCUUGUGGGGCAGUGUGGGGACUAGGAGAGGCUUGUGGGGCAGUGUGGGGACUAGGAGAGGCUUGUGGGGCAGUGUGGGGACCAGGAGAGGCUUGUGGGGCAGUGUGGGGACUAGGAGAGGCUUGUGGGGCAGUGUGGGGACUAGGAGAGGCUUGUGGGGCAGUGUGGGGACUAGGAGAGGCUUGUGGGGCAGUGUGGGGACUAGGAGAGGCUUGUGGGGCAGUGUGGGGACUAGGAGAGGCUUGUGGGGCAGUGUGGGGACUAGGAGAGGCUUGUGGGGCAGUGUGGGGACUAGGCAAGGCUUGGCUUUGGAGAGUCAGCACAGUAAUGCCCCGUCUGGGGAAAAAACUGUUCUCGUCUGGAAUUAAUCAAUGCAAUAACAAACACUUUGUGCAGGUACCCUUCACAUACCUAAUUUGACCUAAUGCUUUCCAAAAGCACACAAAUGACCAGGCUACCAGAAAUACUAUCAUACAUCCACAAAUGUCUAUGUCUAAGCUUCUUCAUAUAAACUCAUGAAUACAACAUGGUUUUGACCGAAAUGGAAGUGGGAUGAUUUGAAAUAAGAAGCCUACAUUCCACGAAUCCUUUGGGGGCAAUAUGGCAAGUAGAAAGUAUGUGUUUAUAACCUAGCCCUGAGCAAUUGCCCUGUGUUGUAUCAUAAAAUAUUUUUUACAAAAUAAUUUUAAAAAGAUAUGAGGGAAUCUUUUCAGCCAAACCCCAGUAAAUGACAGAUACAGUGGUCGAUCAUUAAUCCAUACUUCUAUUGAGGGAGAUGGCCACAGUAAAAAGACGGAGGGAAGCCCACCUGCUAAACAUGCACGCCUGGCACAUGUGGACUGCGCAUGUCUACACAUGCGACAGAGCAUGAGCACCAUGGAGGACAUUAGCAAAGGUAAACAAUGGGAGGGUGCAGUGCUAAACUCUCUCUUCCAGUAGUCCUAUGCCAAGCUACUGAUGUUAUUUUGAAAAAAAGGAGAACAUGUCUAGGCCUUUUUCGCAAUAUGUCUGCCAUGCGUAAUGAAACAAACUUGUGUUUUUGUUAUGAUGCCAGUAAAAAGAUAGAAAACGAUUGGAGACGCAACCGAAUGUUAUGGCAAACCCGCAUGACAGUUACAGGGGAAGGGGCUAGCCAAUGAAACUCAACCAUUUACGAUGGAGUUGAGCAGUGACUAGUGUGGACUGACUGAAGUUCCCGACAUUACGUUUAUAUUAAAAACUACACAUUUCAGCACCCAGGACAUUGUCCUGUGUAAAUGCAGGCUAUUCUUUGGGUGUUGAAAUCUGUUUAUGCAAAGUCGGGACUCCAGUCUAGUCACAUAUCAACUCCAUUGGAAAUUGCGGAGUUUAGUUUAGUCGGCUAGGAAGCAGAAAAACUGGCAGGUAAACUAACGAUUACCUCUAUUCCUUCCAGAAUGGUUCACUCAUGUCGUGGUGUGGGGGCUGUGCUUGGCAAAGUGGCCAGGGAAGUUAUGUAUCCGGUGUCCUGUGUGAAUUUAAGUCUCUCUCUCUCUCAGGACCUGAGCCCUAGGACCAUGCCUGAAGACUACCUGGCACGAUGACUCCUUGCUGUCCCCAGUCCACAUGGCCAUGCUGACCUGUUGCACCCUCGACAACCACUGUGAUUACUAUUAUUUGACCAUGCUGGUCAUUUAUGAACAUUUGAACAUCUUGGCCAUGUUAUAAUUCUCCACCCGGCACAGCCAGAAGAGGACAGGCCACCCCUCAUAGCCUGGUUUCUUCCUAGGUUUAGGCCUUUCUAGGGAGUUUUUCCUAACUACCGUGCUUCUACAGGAAUGCUUCUCGCCCUGCAGCCUCAAGCUUGACAUGCACCUUCACACACAACAGCGUCCCAGCUGAAAUGUGAGUCCUGAAAUCUUCCACAUAAUCUUGAAAGCAUCUCAUCUGUUGUUUCACUCUAUUGACCAUACAGCCCUUGUAUGUUGCAGUUAUUUAUAAAUAAAAUCCUCAUCUAACCCUUGAUCAUGACUGAGUUCAAGUUCCAUUACACAUAAGUCAUUGGAAGAAGUGUCUUCUGUAUGUGGAAAUGCUGUUAAGAGCCCUGGGGCUUGGUCUGAACAAUAACACACAUCGCUUGCGGUACGGUUUUAGAAGCAUACGGAUCUUAUCUUUUCUUUCAUAUCAAAGAGAAGUACUUUUCUAAAAACAAAAGGUUGAAUUGAUACCUAUAUAAUAGGGUUUGUGUUCCCACACUACCAUAUCUCGAUGUUACAGCGCGUGUUUACGGAAGACAGAAGGACCGCCUGUUCUAAUUCGCGAUUGUGCAUGCUCCAAACACCUGGGUGUAACAGAAUAAGGCUGCCAGAAAUGUGCUGUCACUGAAAAAUACUUUUGGCUGCAACUGUGAUAAAGCCGGUUGAAACAGAGCUGAGCCCUAGGACCAUGCCUCAGCACUACCUGGCCUGAUGACUCCUUGCUGUCCCUAGUCCACCUGGCUCUGCUGCUGCUCCAGUUUCAAAUGUUCUGCCUGCGGCUAUGGAACCCUGACCUGUUCACCGGACGUGCUACCUGUCCCAGACCUGCUGUUUUCAACUUUCUAGAGACAGCAGGAGCGGUAGAGAUACUCUGAAUUAUUGCCUAUGAAAAGCCAACUGACAUUUACUCCUGAGGUAAAUGUAAAUGUCAUUUACUCACAGUGGUUGCACCCUCGACAACCACUCUGAUUAUUAUUAUUUGACCCUGCUGGUCAUCUAUGAACAUUUGAACAUAUUGGCUAUGUUCUGUUCUAAUCACCACCUGGCACAGUCAGAAGAGGACUGGCCACCCCUCAUAGACGGGUUCCUCUCUAGGUUUCUUUCAAGGUUCUGGCCUUUCUAGGGAGUUUUUCCUAGCCACUGUGCUUCUACACCUGCAUUGCUUGCUGUUUGGGGUUUUAGGCUGGGUUUCUGUACAGCACUUUGUGACAUCAGCUGAUGUAAGAAGGGCUUUAUAAAUAAAUGUGAUUGAUUGAUUAAUAUGAAUAGCAAAGGUGUGCACCGCAGUAGUUAUUUAGAAUGAGCCUUGAUGAGAAUACAGUAUAUUUAUGUAUUUAUUAAACAUUUUGCAUG